rfam:Candidatus Berkelbacteria bacterium RIFOXYA2_FTLL_43_10 rifoxya2_full_scaffold_776, whole genome shotgun sequence.
CACACGGAGAGUUUGAUCCUGGCUCAGGAUUAACGUUGGCAGCGUGCCUAACACAUGCAAGUCGAACGAUAUAGUGGCAGACGAGAGAGUAUAAGCAAGGAACUUACCCCCGAGUGAAGGAUAGCCAGCCGAAAGGCUGGGUAAUCCUGCAUAAUCUCGAAAGAGCAAAGCCCAGCACCACUUUGAACAUGAGCAAAAUCAUAUUUGAUUUAAUGAUCAUUCACGUUUAAAGUGGUGCUGGGCGCUUGGGGAGAGGCCUUGCCCCUAUCAGCUAGUUGGUGAGGUAAUGGCUCACCAAGGCGAUGACGGGUAGCUGGUCUGAGAGGAUGAUCAGCCUCGAUGGGACUGAGACACGGCCCAUACUCCUACGGGAGGCAGCAGUUGGGAAUUUUGCACAAUGGAGGCAACUCUGAUGCAGCAACGCUGCGUGAAGGAUGAAGGUUUUCGGAUUGUAAACUUCUUUUAUCUGGGAAUAAUCUUGAAGGUACCAGAUGAAUAAGCACCGGCUAACUACGUGCCAGCAGCCGCGGUAAUACGUAGGGUGCAAACGUUAUCCGGAUUUAUUGGGCGUAAAGAGUUCGUAGGUGGUUUUGAAAGUUGGAUAUUAAAUCUCCCGACUCAAUCGGGAAAAAGUAUCCAAAACUUCAUGACUUGAGGUAUGCAGGGGAGAAUGGAACAUACGGUGUAGCGGUGGAAUGCGUAGAUAUCGUAUGGAACACCAAUGGUGAAGACAGUUCUCUGGGCAUUACCUGACACUGAGGAACGAAAGCGUGGGUAGCGAUCGGGAUUAGAUACCCCGGUAGUCCACGCCGUAAACGAUGCAUACUAGGAAUGCGGAGUAUCGACCCUCUGCGUUUCGAAGCUAACGCGUUAAGUAUGCCGCCUGGGUAGUACGGCCGCAAGGCUAAAACUCAAAGGAAUUGACGGGGACCCGCACAAGCGGUGGAACAUGUGGUUUAAUUCGAUGACAAGCGAAGAACCUUACCAGGGCUUGACAUCUCGCGAAUCCGCUAGAGAUAGCGGAGUGCCUUUUGGAACGCGAUGACAGGUGUUGCACGGUCGUCGUCAGCUCGUGCUGUGAAGUGUCCCGUUAAGUCGGUAAACGAGCGCAACCCCUAUUGUAUGUUGUAUUUUUCAUACGAGACUGCCGGCGUUAAGUCGGAGGAAGGCGGGGAUGACGUCAGAUCAGCGUGACUCUUACGUCCUGGGCGACACACAUGUUACAAUGGGUAGUAACAAAGGGUUGCUAAACUGUAAAGUGGAGCUAAUCCCAUCAAACCUACCCCCAGUUCGGAUUGAGGGCUGCAACUCGCCCUCAUGAAGUCGGAAUCGCUAGUAAUCGUGGGUCAGCCAUACCACGGUGAAUACGUUCUCGGGUCUUGUACACUGGCGCCUUGCCGCUAGUUUUUCCAGAUGGUUAAAAUCCAUCUUGUGGUAUACAGAGCUACAAAAGCAAAAUCGCAGCUUGUUUUCGCGAGGAACCAAGUGAAGGGCGAAAUUAGCAU